CCUUCGAUAGCUCAAUUGGUAGAGCGGGGGACUGUAGAUUUAUAAUUGUGAUCCCUAGGUCGCUGGUUCGAAUCCGGCUAGAAGAA
rfam:Nematostella vectensis strain CH2 x CH6 NEMVEscaffold_253_Cont20990, whole genome shotgun sequence.